AUUGAACGCUGACGGCAUGCUUUACACAUGCAAGUCGAACGGUAACAGGCCGCAAGGUGCUGACGAGUGGCGAACGGGUGAGUAAUGCAUCGGAACGUGCCCAGUCGUGGGGGAUAACUACUCGAAAGAGUAGCUAAUACCGCAUACGAUCUAUGGAUGAAAGCGGGGGACCGUAAGGCCUCGCGCGAUUGGAGCGGCCGAUGUCAGAUUAGGUAGUUGGUGGGGUAAAGGCUCACCAAGCCAACGAUCUGUAGCUGGUCUGAGAGGACGACCAGCCACACUGGGACUGAGACACGGCCCAAACUCCUACGGGAGGCAGCAGUGGGGAAUUUUGGACAAUGGGCGCAAGCCUGAUCCAGCAAUGCCGCGUGCAGGAAGAAGGCCUUCGGGUUGUAAACUGCUUUUGUACGGAACGAAACGGCUCUGGUUAAUACCCGGGGCUAAUGACGGUACCGUAAGAAUAAGCACCGGCUAACUACGUG
rnacentral:rRNA from 1 species